rnacentral:rRNA from 1 species
UACGUAGGGUGCGAGCGUUGUCCGGAAUUAUUGGGCGUAAAGAGCUCGUAGGCGGUGUGUCACGUCGGCCGUGAAAACCUGCAGCUUAACUGUGGGCGUGCGGUCGAUACGGGCAUCACUGGAGUUCGGCAGGGGAGACUGGAAUUCCUGGUGUAGCGGUGAAAUGCGCAGAUAUCAGGAGGAACACCGGCGGCGAAGGCGGGUCUCUGGGCCGAUACUGACGCUGAGGAGCGAAAGCGUGGGGAGCGAACAGG